GUAGCUAACGCGUUAAGUAUCCCGCCUGGGGAGUACGUUCGCAAGAAUGAAACUCAAAGGAAUUGACGGGGACCCGCACAAGCGGUGGAGUAUGUGGUUUAAUUCGAUGCAACGCGAAGAACCUUACCAGGGCUUGACAUACCGCGAAUCCUAGUGAAAGCCGGGAGUGCCUAAGGGAGCGCGGAUACAGGUGGUGCAUGACUGUCGUCAGCUCGUGUCGUGAGAUGUUGGGUUAAGUUCCGCAACGAGCGAAACCCUCGUCUUGAGUUGUCAGCAAGUAAAGUUGGACACUCUCAAGAGACUGCCGGUGAUAAAUCGGAGGAAGGUGGGGAUGACGUCAAGUCUUCAUGCCCCUUACGUCCUGGGCUACACACGUACUACAAUGCUACGGACAGAGGGCAGCAAGACUGCGAAGUCAAGCAAAUCCCAUAAACCGUAGCUCAGUUCAGAUCGCAGGCUGCAACUCGCCUGCGUGAAGGUGGAAUCCCUAGUAAUUCCAGAUCAGCAUUGCUGGAGUGAAUACGUUUCCGGGUCUUGUACACACCGCCCGUCACACCACGGAAUUUGGUUUUACCCGAAUUCGUUAUUCCCACCCAUUAAGGAGGGAACCUUGGUAGGCCGUACUGUGGAAGGGGGUGACCUUGUUCCAAGUUU
rnacentral:rRNA from 1 species